rnacentral:rRNA from 1 species
UGGGGAAUAUUGCACAAUGGGCGCAAGCCUGAUGCAGCAACGCCGCGUGAGGGAUGACGGCCUUCGGGUUGUAAACCUCUUUUAGUAGGGAAGAAGCGAAAGUGACGGUACCUGCAGAAAAAGCACCGGCUAACUACGUGCCAGCAGCCGCGGUAAUACGUAGGGUGCGAGCGUUGUCCGGAAUUAUUGGGCGUAAAGAGCUCGUAGGCGGUCUGUCGCGUCUGCUGUGAAAACCCGAGGCUCAACCUCGGGCCUGCAGUGGGUACGGGCAGACUAGAGUGCGGUAGGGGAGAAUGGAAUUCCUGGUGUAGCGGUGGAAUGCGCAGAUAUCAGGAGGAACACCGAUGGCGAAGGCAGUUCUCUGGGCCGUAACUGACGCUGAGGAGCGAAAGCGUGGGGAGCGAACAGGAUUAGAUACCCUGGUAGUCCACGCCGUAAACGUUGGGCGCUAGAUGUGGGGACCAUUCCACGGUUUCCGUGUCGCAGCUAACGCAUUAAGCGCCCCGCCUGGGGAGUACGGCCGCAAGGC